rnacentral:snRNA from 14 species
AAACGUACAUGAGGUGCACAUGCUCAGGUCAGGUUUACCCAUUGUUCUCAGUGUGCGUGGACCCUGUGUUUUCCCCAAAGGCAAACUCAUCUAUAUAACUAGCAAUGGUGGGAAAUCGAAUUCACUCUUUCCCC